UACGUAGGGUGCAGGCGUUAAUCGGAAUUACUGGGCGUAAAGCGUGCGCAGGCGGUUUCUUAAGUCAGAUGUGAAAGCCCCGGGCUUAACCUGGGAACUGCGUUUGAAACUGGGAGACUUGAGUGUGGCAGAGGGGGGUGGAAUUCCACGUGUAGCAGUGAAAUGCGUAGAUAUGUGGAGGGACACCGAUGGCGAAGGCAGCCCCCUGGGUUAACACUGACGCUCAUGCACGAAAGCGUGGGGAGCAAACAGG
rnacentral:rRNA from 1 species